rnacentral:lncRNA from 1 species
AUAGCCCUAGACUGAGGGGGAUGUAACUCUACAAUGAUAUCAUAUUUACCACAAAAAUUAGUUUCUGAUACUAUUUGCUCCCAAGUUCAAAUGGACAUGAAAUUUAGCCUGUGAGGACUACAAAUAGUUUUCAUUUCUUUUAUUUACUUAUCUUUGAGAUCCUUAUACACUAUAUAUAUUUUUAAUCGUAUUCUUUCCCAUUUCACAACUGCUCCCAGAUACUCUGCCCAUCUUUAUAUAGCAACUUCACAUUUUUCUCUCUCUCUUAAAAAACAACCAAGAAACAAACACAAAAAGCCACUAAAAAUAUCCAGAAUCCAAUUUAGUUUGGGGUAACUAUUUCUGAGCAUGGAGUGUGGUUGAUAUAGCCAAUGUCACUCCAUUGAAGAAAACUGAUCUUCCCUCUCCUAGAAGCCUAUUCCUUAGAGCUUGGAGUUUGUGCCCAUUUCUGCUCCUUCAUACUGGGAUUUUGUCUGGCUGAAGCUUGUGCAGGUCUUGUGCUGCUGUCAUAGUCUCUGUUCAUAUAUACAUCUGCCCUGUUAUAUCUAGAAAAUGCUGAUUUCUCAAAGUUGUCCACCAGCUCUGGAUCUCCCAGUCUUUUCCCUCCCUCUUGUACAUAAAUCCCUUAGCCUUGAGGAGAGAGCUGUGAUAAAGACAUCUUAUUCAGGGCUGUACACUCCAAAGUCUCUCACGUUCAUGUGGUCUACUUGUGGGUUUUGGUGUUAAUUACUCUCUACCACAAGAAUAAGCUUCUUUGCUGAGCGUUGUAAAAUGGGUACAGCAAUAUGUCAUUAAGAGUUGUCUUAUUGCUAUGUUUAUUUAGCAUACUACUACUACUAAUAAUAGGUUUACCUCACGCCCUUGACCUAUAUAGUCUCAAAUCUUGGCAUCAUUAUCAAUAUGAAAUGUUUAUUCUCAUAGAGUGGACCUUAAUCAAAACGUAACAACCAAAGAUUCACUCUACUUUUGUACUAGUAGAUAUAUCUUGCAGGCAGCUCAGUACUGUAAAUGACAACGUUCACAGCUGUGUGAUAUAGAUGGUUACUUUUCUACUUCUGUUGUGUGUAGCAUCUUCUGGCACCUGACCAGUAUCUAGUAGAGGGAAUCUCCUAACUGAGUUACAGCUAGGUCUCCCCAUGUUUGAUGACAUGAAUACAGUGUCUUCAACAAUAGUUAAGUUGUGGUGGGUAGCCAAUAGCUUUGGGAAUAACCUGUGGUGUUUGGAUGACUGUGGAAAACAUGAAAUUCCAAAGUAGUUUAAAUUGUCAUUUCUCGGACAGCGAAAGGAUGCUCAAAAUUUUUGCAAGUGUUUCUCUCAGUCAUUUAUGUUUCAUCUUUUGAGAUACUACUGUCUACCUUAAUAGUUUGUUUUUUAAUUGGACUGUUUUCUUGAUGCUUAGUCAUGUGAAUUUUUCCAUCAGAUGCAUAAUUAGUAAAGGAUUUUCCCCAUCCAAUAGGCUUCCUCUUUGUUCAGAUGAUGACAAUACUCUUUAUGCUACAGAUGCCUUUCACUUUCCUGAGGUCUCAUUUAUUAACUGUAGGCCUUAAUGUUUGUGCAAUCAUGGUCCUAUUUGGGAAGUCUGUAUUUAUAUCUUGUAUAUAUUUUCUAGUGUUUCUAUCAUAACCCCAUGCUAAUUCCUAAUACAAUGUUGUUUUAUGGAUAAGAAACCU